rnacentral:rRNA from 2 species
ACACGACUCUCGGCAAUGGAUAUCUCGGCUCUCGCAUCGAUGAAGAGCGCAGCGAAAUGCGAUACGUGGUGCGAAUUGCAGAAUCCCGCGAAC